CUGCCCUCAUUGCUCCUCAAAG
rnacentral:miRNA from 1 species